rnacentral:rRNA from 1 species
GAUGAACGCUGGCGGCGUGCUUAACACAUGCAAGUCGAACGAUGAAGCCCAGCUUGCUGGGUGGAUUAGUGGCGAACGGGUGAGUAACACGUGAGUAACCUGCCCUUAACUCUGGGAUAAGCCUGGGAAACUGGGUCUAAUACCGGAUAGGAGCGUCCACCGCAUGGUGGGUGUUGGAAAGAUUUAUCGGUUUUGGAUGGACUCGCGGCCUAUCAGCUUGUUGGUGAGGUAAUGGCUCACCAAGGCGACGACGGGUAGCCGGCCUGAGAGGGUGACCGGCCACACUGGGACUGAGACACGGCCCAGACUCCUACGGGAGGCAGCAGUGGGGAAUAUUGCACAAUGGGCGCAAGCCUGAUGCAGCGACGCCGCGUGAGGGAUGACGGCCUUCGGGUUGAAAACCUCUUUCAGUAGGGAAGAAGCGAAAGUGACGGUACCUGCAGAAGAAGCACCGGCUAACUACGUG